CACAAAAUGAUGACACUUAUAAUCCGGUUUUGUGGUGGAAUAUUUAUGGAAACCUUGUACCAAGAUUGCAAAGUAUGGCUAAAAGGAUACUUUCAUUGACCACAAGCUCAUCCGGAUGUGAGAGAAAUUGGAGCGCUUUUGAGGGGAUCCAUACAAAGAAAAGGAAUAGACUAG